CGCAUCUGUGCAUGCAGCAUAUCAAUAAGCGGAGGAAAAGAAACUAACAAGGAUUCCCCUAGUAACGGCGAGUGAAGCGGGAGGAGCUCAAAUUUGAAAUCUUAAAGGGUUUCCCUUUACGAAUUGUAGUUUAAAGAAGUGUUUUCUGUUGAGGUUUUGGUAAAAGUUCUUUGGAAUAGGACAUCAUAGAGGGUGAGAAUCCCGUAUUUGACCUUUACUUUCAACUUUGUGAUACACUUUCAAAGAGUCGGAUUGUUUGGGAAUGCAGUCCAAAAUGGGUGGUAAAUUUCAUCUAAAGCUAAAUAUUGGCGAGAGACCGAUAGCGAACAAGUACCGUGAGGGAAAGAUGAAAAGAACUUUGAAAAGAGAGUUAAACAGUACGUGAAAUUGUCAAAAGGGAAGCGUUUGACACCAGUGUUGUUUUUCUGAAAAUCAAUUAAAGAACUGUUUAUGCUAAGUUGUUUAGACUUUAUCAGCUAAUCUGUUUAGUUUUGAGCUUUUCUUUAAUGCACUUUUCAGUUAACAAGUCAACAUCAAUUUCUUUUGCUGUAAAAAAGCUUGAGGAAGGUGGCUUGAGAUUCGUCUUAAGUGUUUAUAGCCUCUUGCCUAUGCAGUCGGAGAGAUUGAGGUCUGCAGCGUAGAUCCUUCGGGGCUAAAUGUAUUUGUGCUAAGUUAUAGCAUUUUAUAGACAACUUGUUGACUAUGAUUUGUCUUGUAGCUUACAUCGCUUAUGUUAUUUUACCUACGCUUAGGAUGUUGAACGCGCACAGAGUCUC
rnacentral:rRNA from 1 species